UACGGGGGGGGCAAGCGUUGUUCGGAAUUACUGGGCGUAAAGGGCGCGUAGGCGGCCUGCUAAGUCGGACGUGAAAUCCCUCGGCUCAACCGAGGAACUGCGUCCGAUACUGGUGGGCUUGAAUCCGGGAGAGGGAUGUGGAAUUCCAGGUGUAGCGGUGAAAUGCGUAGAUAUCUGGAGGAACACCGGUGGCGAAGGCGGCAUCCUGGACCGGUAUUGACGCUGAGGCGCGAAAAGCUAGGGGUAGCAAACGGG
rnacentral:rRNA from 1 species